CGGGGACAUUUUGGGGUCGCAGCGAAGAUUCGGAGAUGUUGGGGACGCUUUGGGGACAUUUGGGGACAAGGUGAAGGUGUGGAGAUGUCGGGGACGUUUUGGGGACAUUUGGGGACGUUUUGGGGUCAUGUGGGGACGUUGGAGGAAGCUUGGGGACUUUUUGGGGUCAUGCAGGGACGUUUUGGGGUCAUUUGGGGACGUUUUAGGGAUGUUUUGGGGUCAUUUGGGGACGUUGGAGGAAGUUUGGGGACGUUUUGGGGAUGUUUGGGGACAUUGGAGGAAGUUUGGGGACGUUUUGGGGUCAUGUGGGGACAUUUUGGGGACAUUUGGGGACGUUUUGGGGACCUUUGGGGACGUUGAGGGAAGUUUGGGGAUGUUUUGCGGUCAUUUGGGGACAUUUUGGGGACACAUGGGGACAUUUCGGGGCCCUUUGUGGACGCGUGGUGACAUUUGGGGUCACCCUGGUGACAUUUUGGGGACAGGGCGAAGACCUGAAGACGUCGGGGACAUUUUGGGGUCGCAGCGAAAAUUCGGAGAUGUUGGG
rnacentral:lncRNA from 1 species